rnacentral:rRNA from 1 species
GACAGAGGGGGCAAGCGUUGCUCGGAAUCACUGGGCGUAAAGGGCGCGUAGGCGGGAUGGCAAGUCGGAUGUGAAAUCCCUCGGCUCAACCAAGGAAGUGCAUCCGAAACUGCUGAGCUUGAGUACUUAAGAGGAUCGCGGAAUUCCCGGUGUAGAGGUGAAAUUCGUAGAUAUCGGGAGGAAUACCUAUGGCGAAAGCAGGCUACUGGACCAUCACUGACGCUGAUCUGCGAAAGCUAGGGGAGCAAACAGG